rnacentral:rRNA from 1 species
GACGAACGCUGGCGGCGUGCUUAACACAUGCAAGUCGAACGGAAAGGCCCUGCUUGCCGGGUACUCGAGUGGCGAACGGGUGAGUAACACGUGGGUGAUCUGCCCUGCACUUCGGGAUAAGCCUGGGAAACUGGGUCUAAUACCGGAUAGGAGCCAUUUUUAGUGUGAUGGUUGGAAAGUUUUUUCGGUGUAGGAUGAGCUCGCGGCCUAUCAGCUUGUUGGUGGGGUAAUGGCCUACCAAGGCGGCGACGGGUAGCCGGCCUGAGAGGGUGGACGGCCACAUUGGGACUGAGAUACGGCCCAGACUCCUACGGGAGGCAGCAGUGGGGAAUAUUGCACAAUGGGCGCAAGCCUGAUGCAGCGACGCCGCGUGGGGGAGGACGGCCUUCGGGUUGUAAACUCCUUUCGCUAGGGACGAAGCUUUUUGUGACGGUACCUAGAUAAGAAGCACCGGCUAACUACGUG